rnacentral:rRNA from 1 species
GACGAACGCUGGCGGCGUGCCUAAUACAUGCAAGUCGAACGCUUCUUUCCUCCCGAGUGCUUGCACUCAAUUGGAAAGAGGAGUGGCGGACGGGUGAGUAACACGUGUGUAACCUACCCAUCAGAGGGGGAUAACACUUGGAAACAGGUGCUAAUACCGCAUAACAGUUUAUGCCGCAUGGCAUAAGAGUGAAAGGCGCUUUCGGGGGUCGCUGAUGGAUGGACCCGCGGUGCAUUAGCUAGUUGGUGAGGUAACGGCUCACCAAGGCCACGAUGCAUAGCCGACCUGAGAGGGUGAUCGGCCACACUGGGACUGAGACACGGCCCAGACUCCUACGGGAGGCAGCAGUAGGGAAUCUUCGGCAAUGGACGAAAGUCUGACCGAGCAACGCCGCGUGAGUGAAGAAGGUUUUCGGAUCGUAAAACUCUGUUGUUAGAGAAGAACAAGGACGUUAGUAACUGAACGUCCCCUGACGGUAUCUAACCAGAAAGCCACGGCUAACUACGUG